UUUGUCUUAAAAAGCUUAAGUUCUUUAAAUAUCUAGUCCUAAAAUUCAUUUUUUUUAAUUUGCUGUUGGUGUCUGUGGUGGCCUGAGUUGGGAGUUGGAGCAUAAGGCUUCCUAGUCCAUCGUUUGUGCCCCGGUUGAACCGACAAAAGCCGCUCGGGUCACAAAUGCAUAAAGCCACCCCUUGGACCCAAGGCCCAAGUGGGAAUACUACUUCAAAAUAGAGUCUAGGAAGAUAAAGAACAUAGCGAGGUGGGCUGAAGGCCCAGCCAUGGGUGAAAAUGGCCAACUAGGGGCUUGGUACGCCCCUAGUCUAACUUAGUCUCUUUAUAUUUAUUCGUAGACUCAUUCCCAUCUUGAUGUACUUGUAAAAAGUGUAUUCAAACUCAUAUUAUAGUGGAAAAUCCUUAUGAUUGGAA